ensembl:lncRNA LINC00905 long intergenic non-protein coding RNA 905
AGAAUCUCGUCAGUUAAGGACCUGGUCAGUUGGGUCCAGUCAGUGGGGGCCUGGUCAGUGGAGACCUAGGCCAUCAGUGGGUCCUGGAUAGUGAGGCCUGGUCAUUGGGGUCCUGGCACAGACCCAGGCCCAGGGGAUGCCCAAUGCUGGGAGGAGGCUCAGACAGCAGGAAGGAGAGAAGGAAGGAAGGAACUUCCGUAGUACCGAUGCCUACAAAAUUACAACACGUGGUGCUGUUUCUACUCCAUCACCAUGUUCGCUCUUUAUUUCCUAUGUAAUUCUCUAUUCAACCGGCCUCAGUUGAGCACAAAACCAUCCUUGUACCACCAUGAAUAGUUGGCCAUGGCUCUUUGAUAGCAAUUUUUGUUCUGCCGUAGAAAUUAUCCUUGAACCAGAAAAAAAAAUCCCCAAUUCAACACUCCAUUUUUGUGAAGAGCUGGUUCCGAAUUCUGGGUCACUUUUUGGAAAAAAUAUCUGUUGUGGUAAACAGUGCUGCAUCUGUGAUCUCAAGUCUCUACUGGAAUUGGAUAGAGAUGGUGAAUUUCAGCCAGAGCGCCCAAAGAACUCGUGUCCCGCGCUCCUGAACGCCAUCAGCCGCCGCACCUCCAUCUUCCCUCCUCCCACGAGUCUCCUGCUCCCCGUGACUCUGGCCUCCUCGCAGUGUUGCUGGGCCACGUCAGGAAGUGCUGGAGGACGUGGCAUUGCACCAACACCAGGCGGCCAGCCGUGUGGCUCAUCCCGCAAAUCAGGCUCUUCCUGUGCAUGGAGAUGGAGUCCCUCUGGAGGCAGCCCGUGGCCCUGUUCUCGGGCAGGUGGAGCAUGGAGACGACUGGGAACUUCACUAGACACGCAUCCAGCCGGUUCAAGGGCUUGUCGCGCCGUGCACCAGCUUGCAGGAGAAGUAGAGCCCAACGCCUCGCCAAGCACGAAGGCCUCCCUUCCCGACUUGAUGAAGGCAGAGUAGCGGUUGAGGUUGCGGCUCACAGUGACCGAGCUCCUGCCCACGUGGGGACCCAGGGAGCCGUCGAGCUCCAGGUAUGCACCUCUGCCCAGUGCACCUGGAUCGUUCACCGUCAUGGAGCUGCCAUCCCACUUGUCGUCCCAGUCAUCAUCACUGCCCUAGCUGGCCUAGUUGCCACCAAGGAGCUGCUGAGGCCACGGCUUCAGGGCAUCCCUACCGCCUGGAAAUCCUGCGCUGGCUGCUGGAAGGCACUCUGUGGUGGCACCAGCUGCGGCUGCAGUAGCAGCUGGAAAGCACUGAGAGAUGGCUUCAAGGAGGCAGGCAGUGCACCGGGCAGGGCCUUGAAACCUCUGGGUGGUACAAUGGCCAUGGCACAGUGGGUCAAGGCACAGGGGCAGCCAUGGCGCGCUGGGCCAGUCCAGGGUUGCAGACCACUUGCACUGCAGAUAUAAGGCCAGGGUUGCUGAGGCCAUGAGCCCCUGCGAGUCAGCCCUUGAUGUCCUGCUCACUACACAGGCUCAGCACUUCAUGUUCUCAUAGAUCACUCUCAAAUUUUCUGCCAUCAAGUGGUACAGCAACUGAAUCCA